rnacentral:rRNA from 1 species
CAAUAGCGUAUAUUAAAGUUGUUGCGGUAAAAAAGCUCGUAGUCGGAUUUCUGUUGAGAGCGACCGGUCCAUACCAUGUAUGCGUAUCUGGCUUGCUCUCGGCAUCCUCUCGAUAGACGUUACUGCGCUUGAUUGCGUGGUGCGGAUCUCGGGACUUUUACUUUGAGGAAAUUAGAGUGUUCACGGCAGGCUUUCGCCAGAAUACAUUAGCAUGGAAUAAUACUAUAGGAUCUUGGUUCUAUUUUGUUGGUUUCUAGAAUUGAGAUAAUGAUUAAUAGGGACAAUUGGGGGCAUUCGUAUCAACACGUCAGAGGUGGAAUUCUUGGAUUGUGUUGCGACGAACUACUGCGAAAGCAUUUGCCAAGGAUGUUUUCAUUGA